CUUUGGGCGAAGUACUGCUCAAGGCGGAAGGAG
rnacentral:ncRNA from 1 species